rnacentral:lncRNA from 1 species
UGACCUGGGAUUAUGGACGGGGUCCUUCCUCCCCUGGCAGCCACACAGGAAGAGCGAGGAGCUUCUGGCUUCCUGAACUGGACGAAGAGGACAAGUUAACUGUUGUUUACCCACCAGCAUCUUUCGAAAGAUCUUCACAUGUGAAUGGGAUCCCACAUAACAGAGAGCCACAGUAAGCAAUGAGUAGACAUUAUUUGUUGUUAGUCAUUUUUUCAGUCAUGUCUGACUCUUUGUGACCCCAUUUGGGACUUUCUUGGCAAAGACCCUGGAGUAGUUUGCCAUUCCUUCUCCAGCUCAUUUUCCAGGUAAGGAAACUGAGACUAACAGGGUUAAAUGACUUGCCCAGGGUCACACAGCUAGUUAGUGUCUGGAGUCAGUUUUGAACUCGAGUCUUCCUGUCUCCAGGUCCUGCACUAUCUACCUAUCUACCUACCAUGCUAUCUAGCUGCCCAGGAGAAGGGAUACCCACUACCCAUCUCAAGUUCAUAGCGUAAGAUUAAAAAUUAUAUCCAAUACACCAAAUAUUAUAUUUUCUAAGAAUCUUACUUAUUAAUAAUAACUUGAAGUAGAGAAAAUAAAAACUGUGAGGGGGAGUGAGAGAGAGACAGAGAGGAGAGACAGAGACUGAGAGAGAGACAGAGAGACAGAGGCAGAGAGAGAGACAGAGAGAGAGAGAGAGGAGAGAGACAGAGACAGAGACAGAGAGACAGAGACAGACAGACAGACAGACAGACAGAGAGGAGAGACAGAGAGGAGAGAGAGACAGACAGACAGACAAGCAGACAGACAGACAGACAGAGAAAGGGAGAGAGAGAGAGACAGAUAGGAGAGAGAGACAGAGAGGAGAGAGAGAGACAGAGAGGAGAGAGAGAAAGAGAGAGGAGAGAGACAGAGACAGAGACAGAGACAAAGACAGAGAGACAGAGACAGACAGAGAGACAGACAGACAGAGAGAGAGAAAGAGAAAAGAGAGAAAGAAAGAAAGAGAGAAAGAAAGAAAGAAAGAAAGAAAGAAAGAAAGAAAGGAAGUAAGGAAGGAAGGAAGGAAGUAAGGAAGGAAGAAAGGAAGGAAGAAAGGAAGGAAGGAAGGAAGGAAGAAAGAAAGAAAGAAAGAAAGAAAGAAAGAAAGAAAGAAAGAAAGAAAGAAAGAAAGAAAGAAAGAAAGAAAGAAAGAAAGAAAGAAAGAAAGAAAGAAAGAAAGAAAGAAAGAAAGAAAGAAAGAAAGAAAGAAAGAAAGAAAGGGACAUUGCAUUAUGGAUAGAGUGUAUCUUGGAGUCAGGG